rnacentral:tRNA from 1 species
GAAGUGUUAGAAAGUGAAUGCUGCUAACUUAUCACUAUAGCGGUUAAAAUCCGUUUACACUUCU